ACCGUCCACUACGCUGCAGCGUCGGUGCCAGACGUAGGCGAGGAGGAGGAGCGUGUGCUGCGGCAGCGCGUGCUGCUCUUCGCUGAGAAGUACGACAACUUUGCCGCCCGUAACCUCGCCCCUCUACUGGCCCGAGAGGAGAGCUGCAGCUUCCUGGGGCGGGAAGGGUGGGGCGGCCACGUGCUGCUGGGGGGGCACCGU